rnacentral:rRNA from 1 species
GAGGGAAUAGGGGGUCUGCUGACUGGUAGCCUUAGUAGCAUGAGUUUAGGUAACUAAGAUAGUAAAUUAGAUCGAACAAACAUUGUAAUUAGUACAGAAAUGGUUAACGAUAAACAAUCUCUAAAGUAGUAGCGUAAUCUAUCGCGUACCUUUUGUAUCAGGGAGGGUGGAAUAGGAGUCCUGAUGUCCUUGUCCCGAAAGAGAGUGAUCUUACUUCCUAGUGAGUCGAAUGUUUCAUUAUUCCCUCCGAUAGGCUGUAAGUUGCGAGAAGUAAUUCGUACUCUCUGAUAUCUGGUUGCCUUCAAGGCUCCUUUAGGGAGUAUAAUCGUUAAGGCUAGGGGGAUAAGCUCUUAGCUUCAGUUAAUGGUUACUUAGCAAGUAGGCUAACCGUUGAGAUUAUUGGAUUUAACACUCCAUAACUAUACUAGGCGAACUAACCUAAUGUUAGAGGUAGGGCCAAAAUCAUCCUAUUAGUAAGAAUAACGUUACUGUAGCUAAGGAACUAGGCAACAGGGGCCUGGACUGUUUAAUAAAAACAUUUCCUCUGUGAGUAGCUUGUGAGGUACAGCCUGCACACUGCUAUGUAAAGUGCUGCGGUAUUCUGACCGUGCUAAGGUAGCAUAAUAAUUUGCCUUUUAAAUGGAGGCUAGUAUGAACGGCUAAACUAGGGCCCAUCUGUCUCAGCUCCAAGUCUCUUAAUUUAUACUUUAAGUGAAAAUCCUUAAAUGUGUCAGAGGGACGAGAAGACCCUGUAGAUCUUGAGUUAUUACCCCAUAAAUUGGUGGAAAGUAAUUUUACCUGGGAAGGGGCUCUCUAACAUACCUAUAGUCUAACGACUUAUUGGUCUAAUUGAUUGACGAUCCAGUAUAACUGAACGUAGAACAAGUUACCUCAGGGAUAACAGCGUAAUAAGUCUUCCUCAGGCCGGAUGGGGUAAGACGGUUUACGACCUCGAUGUUGAAUUAAGUUUACUCUUCCUCGCAGAAGAAGGAGAGUUCAGUCUGUUCGACUGUUAAACACUUACAUGAUUUGAGUUUAGACCGACGUGAGUCAGGUCAGAUUCUAUCUUCUGAUCUAUUACACUUCCUAGUACGAAAGGACUGGAAGAGUGGCUCACUGUACCUU